rnacentral:rRNA from 1 species
UUAACGCUGGCAUCGUGCAUAACACAUGCGAGUCGAACGGGAAUUUUUUGUGUAGCAUUACAUGAAAAAUUCUAGUGGCAGACGGGUGAGUAAUACAUAAGGAAUCUACCUUGAAGUGGGGAACAACUAGUCGAAAGAUUAGCUAAUACUCCAUAAUAUCACUUAGUGGCAUCACUUAGUGAUUAAAGAUUUAUCGCUUCAGGACGAUCUUAUGGUCUAUCAGCUAGUUGGUAGGGUAAUGGCCUACCAAGGCGACGACGGAUAGCCGGCCUGAAAGGGCGACCGGCCACAGGGGCACUGAGACACGGGCCCCACUCCUACGGGAGGCAGCAGUGGGGAAUUUUGGACAAUGGACGCAAGUCUGAUCCAGCAACGAUGCGUGGAGGAUGAAGGUUUUCGGAUUGUAAACUCCUUUUGCAGGGGAAGAAAAAAAUGACGGUACUCUGCGAAUAAGCCACGGCUAACUACGUGCCAGCAGCCGCGGUAAGACGUAGGUGGCAAGCGUUACUCGGAAUUACUAGGCGUAAAGCGCGCGUAGGCGGAUUGUUAAGUCUGUUGUGUAAUCUCUGGGCCCAACCCAGAAACUGCAAUUGAAACUGGCGAUCUUGAGUGAGGCAGAGGAAAUCGGAAUUCCAAGUGUAGCAAUGAAAUGCGUAGAUAUUUGGAGGAACACCAGUGGCGAAGGCGGAUUUCUGGGCCUUUACUGACGCUGAAGUGCGAAAGCUAGGGGAGCAAACGGGAUUAGAUACCCCGGUAGUCCUAGCCGUAAACGAUGAUAACUAGGUGUGGGAGGUAUCGACCCCUUCCGUGCCGACGCUAACGCAUUAAGUUAUCCGCCUGGGGAGUACGGCCGCAAGGUUAAAACUCAAAGGAAUUGACGGGGACCCGCACAAGAGGUGGAUUAUGUGGUUUAAUUGGACGCUACGCGAAAAACCUUACCUGGGCUCGAACGACUGGUAGUAACAUUUAUGAAAGUAGAUGUGAUUCGCAAGAAAGCCA